rnacentral:rRNA from 1 species
CGAACGGGUGAGUAAUGCGUGACCAACCUGCCCCAUGCUCCAGAAUAGCUCUUGGAAACGGGUGGUAAUGCUGGACGCUCCAACUUGACGCAUGUCUUGUUGGGAAAGUGUUUAGUGGCAUGGGAUGGGGUCGCGUCCUAUCAGCUUGUAGGCGGGGUAAUGGCCCACCUAGGCUUCGACGGGUAGCCGGCCUGAGAGGGCGGACGGCCACAUUGGGACUGAGAUACGGCCCAGACUCCUACGGGAGGCAGCAGUG